rnacentral:rRNA from 1 species
GUAGGGUGCAAGCGUUAUCCGGAAUUAUUGGGCGUAAAGGGCUCGUAGGCGGUUCGUCGCGUCCGGUGUGAAAGUCCAUCGCUUAACGGUGGAUCCGCGCCGGGUACGGGCGGGCUUGAGUGCGGUAGGGGAGACUGGAAUUCCCGGUGUAACGGUGGAAUGUGUAGAUAUCGGGAAGAACACCAAUGGCGAAGGCAGGUCUCUGGCCGUUACUGACGCUGAGGAGCGAAAGCGUGGGGAGCGAACAGGAUUAGAUACCCUGGUAGUCCACGCCGUAAACGGUGGAUGCUGGAUGUGGGGCCCGUUCCACGGGUUCCGUGUCGGAGCUAACGCGUUAAGCAUCCCGCCUGGGGAGU